rnacentral:SRP_RNA from 1 species
GCUGGGCAUGGUGGCACAUGCCUGUAGUCCCAGCUACUCAGGAGGCUGAGGUGGGAGAAUCGCUUGAGCCUGGGAGGUCGAGACUGCAGUGAGCCAAGAUCGUGCCACUGCAUUCCAGCCUGGGUGACAGAGUGAGACCCAAUCUCUA